rnacentral:rRNA from 1 species
GCCUAACACAUGCAAGUCGAGCGGAGAUGAGGUGCUUGCACCUUAUCUUAGCGGCGGACGGGUGAGUAAUGCUUAGGAAUCUGCCUAUUAGUGGGGGACAACAUUCCGAAAGGAAUGCUAAUACCGCAUACGUCCUACGGGAGAAAGCAGGGGAUCUUCGGACCUUGCGCUAAUAGAUGAGCCUAAGUCGGAUUAGCUAGUUGGUGGGGUAAAGGCCUACCAAGGCGACGAUCUGUAGCGGGUCUGAGAGGAUGAUCCGCCACACUGGGACUGAGACACGGCCCAGACUCCUACGGGAGGCAGCAGUGGGGAAUAUUGGACAAUGGGGGGAACCCUGAUCCAGCCAUGCCGCGUGUGUGAAGAAGGCCUUAUGGUUGUAAAGCACUUUAAGCGAGGAGGAGGCUACUGAGACUAAUACUCUUGGAUAGUGGACGUUACUCGCAGAAUAAGCACCGGCUAACUCUGUGCCAGCAGCCGCGGUAAUACAGAGGGUGCGAGCGUUAAUCGGAUUUACUGGGCGUAAAGCGUGCGUAGGCGGCUUUUUAAGUCGGAUGUGAAAUCCCCGAGCUUAACUUGGGAAUUGCAUUCGAUACUGGGAAGCUAGAGUAUGGGAGAGGAUGGUAGAAUUCCAGGUGUAGCGGUGAAAUGCGUAGAGAUCUGGAGGAAUACCGAUGGCGAAGGCAGCCAUCUGGCCUAAUACUGACGCUGAGGUACGAAAGCAUGGGGAGCAAACAGGAUUAGAUACCCUGGUAGUCCAUGCCGUAAACGAUGUCUACUAGCCGUUGGGGCCUUUGAG